UACGUAGGGGGCAAGCGUUGUCCGGAUUUAUUGGGCGUAAAGAGCUCGUAGGCGGUUUGUUGCGUCGGCUGUGAAAUCCCGAGGCUCAACCUCGGGUCUGCAGUCGAUACGAGCAAACUAGAGUGUUGCAGGGGAGACUGGAAUUCCUGGUGUAGCGGUGAAAUGCGCAGAUAUCAGGAGGAACACCGGUGGCGAAGGCGGGUCUCUGGGCAGUAACUGACGCUGAGGAGCGAAAGCGUGGGGAGCGAACAGG
rnacentral:rRNA from 1 species